UUGUAUAUAGUGAAAGAGUCUCCUGCCAUGAUUCAGACUUGACUUUUCUAGCUUUUUCCAUAGAUAAGCACCAGCCUAGGAGCUCUCAAAGUUGUUUCAGCUAAAGGACACACUCAGCUUUUGGUCUACAGUGACUUUCAGCCUAAGUGGCUCUGGACACUGCUGGAACCCCCCGACUCCAUCUCCCUCCAUAAAUAUGUCUCUGCAGCAGUAAAUGCUAAAGGGAGUCCUUCCUGCAGGUUGAUAUAAAAGGACACUAAACAAUAACUUGAUGCCAUAUGAAGAAAAAAAGAUCUCAGCAAAGCUCGGUCAAGGAGUGUGAUGACUGGCGAGCAGAUGGCUGCCUUCCAUCCAUCGUCCACCCCCAACCCGCUGGAGAGGCCCAUCAAGAUGGGCUGGCUGAAGAAGCAGAGGUCCAUCGUGAAGAACUGGCAGCAGAGGUACUUUGUGCUGAGGGCUCAGCAGCUCUGCUACUACAAGGACGAAGAGGACACGAAGCCCCAGGGCUGCAUGUAUCUACCAGGAUGUACAAUCAAGGAGAUCGCCACAAACCCAGAAGAAGCUGGGAAGUUUGUCUUUGAAAUCAUUCCAGCCUCAUGGGACCAGAAUCGCAUGGGACAGGACUCCUAUGUCCUCAUGGCCAGCUCCCAGGCGGAGAUGGAGGAGUGGGUUAAA
rnacentral:sRNA from 1 species